UUUUAGGGAUUUUAUAGUAAUGUAAAAGUUGAAAAUUAUCCUUUACCCAAGCAACCAGAGAAAGAGUUAAUAGAAUUAGAACAAAUUAAAUGGUCAAGAGAAAUGGAAAAUCUCAUUUAUGAAGUGAGAAUAAAUGAAAAAAUUCAAGAAAGCAUGAAG